rnacentral:rRNA from 1 species
CAGCCGUAAACAAUGUGCGUUAGGUGUGUCGGUAACCACGCGUUACUGAUGCGCCGAAGAGAAAUCGUGAAACGCACCACCUGGGAAGUACGGUCGCAAGGCUGAAACUUAAAGGAAUUGGCGGGGGAGCACCACAACAGGUGGAGCCUGCGGUUUAAUUGGACUCAACGCCGGGAAGCUCACCGGAUAGGACAGCAGAAUGAUUGCCGGGCUGAAGACCCUGCAUGACUAGCUGAGAGGUGGUGCAUGGGCGUCAGUGACU